rnacentral:rRNA from 1 species
UGGGGAAUAUUGGGCAAUGGGCGCAAGCCUGACCCAGCAACGCCGCGUGAAGGAAGAAGGCCCUCGGGUUGUAAACUUCUUUUAUUGAGGACGAAACAAAUGACGGUACUCGAUGAAUAAGCCACGGCUAACUACGUGCCAGCAGCCGCGGUAAUACGGAGGAUGCGAGCGUUAUCCGGAUUUAUUGGGUUUAAAGGGUGCGUAGGCGGCACCGUAAGUUAGUGGUUAAAUCGUUCGGCUCAACCGGAUGUUGCCAUUAAAACUGCGGAGCUAGAGUACAGAUGAGGUAGGCGGAAUAAGUUAAGUAGCGGUGAAAUGCAUAGAUAUCGGGAGGAACACCAGUGGCGAAGGCGGCCUACUGGGCACUAACUGACGCUGAGGCUCGAAAGCAUGGGUAGCAAACA